CGGGAAUUCGAUUCAGGCCUAACACAUGCAAGUCGAGCGGCAGCGCGGGGCAACCUGGCGGCGAGCGGCGGACGGGUGAGGAAUACGUCGGAAUCUGCCAAUUCGUGGGGGAUGACGUAGGGAAACUUACGCUAAUACCGCAUACGUCCUACGGGAGAAAGUGGGGGAUCGCAAGACCUCACGCGAAUUGAUGAGCGGACGUCCGAUUAGCUAGUUGGUGAGGUAAUGGCUCACCAAGGCGACGAUCGGUAGCUGGUCUGAGAGGAUGAUCAGCCACAC
rnacentral:rRNA from 1 species